GGAUGGAUGGCCGAGCGGUUUAAGGCACCGGUCUUGAAAACCGACGUACGUUCGCGCGUACCGUGGGUUCGAAUCCCACUCCAUCCG
rnacentral:tRNA from 1 species